AGGGUAUGAUCUUGGCUCAGAACGAACGCUGGCGGCGUGGAUUAGGCAUGCAAGUCGAACGAGGGAGUGAUCCGAAAGGGUCACAAACCGAGUGGCGUAAGGGUGAGUAAUGCAUUGAUAACCUGCCUUUGAGACGGGGAUAACAACGUUCCGGGUAAAACCGGGACUUCCGAAAGGGUUGCUAAUACCCGAUGAGACCUGUGGUACAAGGGUGCCGGAGGUCAAAGGAUUGUGGCGUGAGCCAUAUUUUGCUCAGAGAGGGGUCAAUGUCCUAUCAGCUAGUUGGUAGGGUAAAGGCCUACCAAGGCGAAGACGGGUAGCCGGCUUGAGAGGGUGGUCGGCCACAUUGGGACUGAGACACUGCCCAGACUCCUACGGGAGGCUGCAGUCGAGAAUCUUUCGCAAUGCCCGCAAGGGUGACGAAGCGACGCCGCGUGUGGGAAGAAGGCCUUCGGGUUGUAAACCACUGUUAGGGGUUAAGAAGGGUAAGGGAAGACCUUACCGUGACGAAAGCCCCAGAGGAAGUCACGGCUAACUCUGUGCCAGCAGCCGCGGUAAUACAGAGGUGGCAAGCGUUGUUCGGAAUUAUUGGGCGUAAAGAGCACGUAGGCGGCCUUGCAAGUCAGCUGUGAAAGCCUUCCGCUUAACGGAAGAACGGCAGUUGAUACUACGGGGCUAGAGUACGGGAGGGGAGAGUGGAACUUCUGGUGGAGCGGUGAAAUGCGUAGAUAUCAGAAGGAACACCGGCGGCGAAAGCGACUCUCUGGUCCGUAACUGACGCUGAGGUGCGAAAGCUAGGGGAGCAAACGGGAUUAGAUACCCCGGUAGUCCUAGCCGUAAACGAUGGGCACUCGGUAGGGGGGCCUUAGAUGUUUCCCUGCCUGAGCUAACGCGUUAAGUGCCCCGCCUGGGGAGUACGGCCGCAAGGCUAAAACUCAAAAGAAUUGACGGGGGCUCGCACAAGCGGUGGAGCAUGUGGCUUAAUUCGAUGCAACACGAAGAACCUUACCGGGGCUUGACAUGGUAGUAGUAGGAGCCUGAAAGGGUGACGAACGGUAUCCAGUCCGUUGCUAUCACAGGUGUUGCAUGGCUGUCGUCAGCUCGUGUCGUGAGACGUUGGGUUAAGUCCCCUAACGAGCGAAACCCUUGUCUUUAGUUGCAAACGGGUAGAGCCGAGCACUCUAAAGAGACUGCUGUCGUUAAGACGGAGGAAGGUGGGGAUGACGUCAAGUCAUCAUGGCCCUUAUGUCCCGGGCUGCACACGUGCUACAAUGGUCGGUACAGAGGGAUGCGAAGUCGUAAGGCGGAGCGAAACCCCGGAAAAGCCGAUCCCAGUUCAGAUUGGAGGCUGAAACUCGCCUCUAUGAAGUAGGAAUCGCUAGUAAUCGCGGAUCAGCUAUGCCGCGGUGAAUAUGUUCCCGAGCCUUGUACACACCGCCCGUCAAGCCACCCAAGCAGGGCGUACCCGAAAUCGCUGGCCUAACCCCGUAACAGGGGGGGGAGGUGACUAAGGUGUGUCUUGUGAGGAGGACUAAGUCGUAACAAGGUAGUCGUAGGAGAACCUGCGGCUGGAUCACCUCCUUUCUA
rnacentral:rRNA from 1 species